AUUCAACAGAAGAAUCCCAAAUAGGAUGAAACGCUCAUCCUGGAU
rnacentral:hammerhead_ribozyme from 1 species